rnacentral:rRNA from 1 species
GAAAUCGAGUCCGAAUAGGGCGUCUUUAGUCGCUGGGUGUAGACCCGAAACCAAGUGAUCUAUCCAUGGCCAGGAUGAAGUGCUGUAACAGGUACUGGAGGUCCGAACCGACUAGUGUUGCAAAAUUAGCGGAUGAGCUGUGGAUAGGGGUGAAAAGGCUAAACAAACUUGGAAAUAGCUGGUUCUCUCCGAAAACUAUUUAGGUAGUGCCUCAAGUAUUACCUGCGGGGGUAGAGCACUGUUUAGGCUAGGGGGUCAUGGCGACUUACCAACCCUAGGCAAACUCCGAAUACCGCAGAGUACAGCUUGGGAGACAGAGCACCGGGUGCUAACGUCCGGACUCAAGAGGGAAAACAACCCAGACCGCCAGCUAAGGUCCCUAAAAAUUGGCUAAGUGGGAAACGAAGUGGGAAGGCUAAAACAGUCAGGAUGUUGGCUUAGAAGCAGCCAUCAUUUUAAAGAAAGCGUAAUAGCUCACUGAUCGAGUCGUCCUGCGCGGAAGAUGUAACGGGG